rnacentral:lncRNA from 1 species
GCAGAGCCCAGGCGCGUGGGUCGGUGUCGGGUGUGUGUGUACGUCUGUGUGUGUAAUGAAACUGGACGCCUUCCUUCCCGGCGAUCUUGACUUAACCUGUCAGCAGAGGGCUUGAGGUUAGACCACAGGUUGAACCUAGGUGGCUGCUGGAGAGGGUCACCUCAUUGCCCAAGAUGGCUGCUGGAGCCCCAGCCAGCAGGAAGGAAGAAGAAAGCCUGAAGAAGGACAUGCCCCUUCCCUUCAAGGAAGCUUCCUAGAAGUCACACUUAUAUUCCAUUGGCCAGAACUCAGUCAUCUAGCCAUACCUAGCUGCAAGGGAAGCUAGGUAGUCUAGUCUUUAUUCCAUGGGGGUCUGGCUAAAAGUUGGGAAAUAAACGAGGAAUGGAUAUUAGGAGACAGGAUCUGCCACAAAGCCUCUUUGUUCCUUUUAGAUUGCAACUGCCAGAGGGUAAGUGGGGCCUUCCCAACGCCCUGCCUCAAGCAAUCCUGGUUCUCUCCCUUCUCUGAGGUCUCAGUUCUUCCCUGAUACUCAGUAGUUACUGCCUGGAGCUGCUAAAGGCAGCAGCACAAUGCCACAUCCGGCUGCCGUUGGCUGUUGUCCACCGUCUGCAGAUCCAGGCCAGUGCACUCACUUAUCUCACAACAGCUCAACAGGCAGCUAGUCUUAGUCCCAUUUUAUAGUUGAGAAAUUGAGGCCUAAAGAGGUUAAGUAACUUGCCCAAGAGCACGCAGCUGGGCUCUGAGCCCAGUUCCUGUGUGUUUCUUUCUUUCCUGUUGAGCCUUCCCUGUAGGGGUGGAUGCCCUGGGCCUUCUCAGGGUCUGACAAGAGGAACUGGAAUGGUCUGAGCCCUAGGAGGGGCCUGUCUGGGAGGAGAGGGCAGGCAGGGGCGUGACCUGGGUCCUCA